AACGGCCCACCAAGGCAACGAUGGUUAGGGGCCCUGAGAGGGGGAUCCCCCACACUGGUACUGAGACACGGACCAGACUCCUACGGGAGGCAGCAGUGAGGAAUAUUGGACAAUGGGCGGGAGCCUGAUCCAGCCAUGCCGCGUGCAGGAUGACUGCCCUAUGGGUUGUAAACUGCUUUUAUACGGGAAGAAACGCGCCUACGUGUAGGCGUUUGACGGUACCGUAAGAAUAAGGACCGGCUAACUCCGUGCCAGCAGCCGCGGUAAUACGGAGGGUCCGAGCGUUAUCCGGAAUCAUUGGGUUUAAAGGGUCCGUAGGCGGGCCAUUAAGUCAGGGGUGAAAGUCUGCAGCUCAACUGUAGAAUUGCCUUUGAUACUGGUGGUCUUGAGUCGUUGUGGAGUGGCCGGAACAUGUGGUGUAGCGGUGAAAUGCAUAGAUAUCACAUAGAACACCGAUCGCGAAGGCAGGUCACUAACAACGUACUGACGCUGAUGGACGAAAGCGUGGGUAGCGAACGGGAUUAGAUACCCCGGUAGUCCACGCCGUAAACGAUGGAUACUAGCUGUCGGGACUUCGGUCUCGGCGGCCAAGCGAAAGUGAUAAGUAUCCCACCUGGGGAGUACGUUCGCAAGAAUGAAACUCAAAGGAAUUGACGGGGGCCCGCACAAGCGGUGGAGCAUGUGGUUUAAUUCGAUGAUACGCGAGGAACCUUACCAGGGCUUAAAUGUAGUAUGACAGGUUUAGAGAUAGACUUUUCUUCGGACAUAUUACAAGGUGCUGCAUGGUUGUCGUCAGCUCGUGCCGUGAGGUGUCAGGUUAAGUCCUAUAACGAGCGCAACCCCUACCGUUAGUUGCCAGCGAGUGAAGUCGGGGACUCUAACGGGACUGCCGGUGCAAACCGUGAGGAAGGUGGGGACGACGUCAAAUCAUCACGGCCCUUACGUCCUGGGCCACACACGUGCUACAAUGGCCGGUACAGAGGGAAGCCACCCCGCAAGGGGGCGCGGAUCUACAAAGCCGGUCACAGUUCGGAUCGGGGUCUGCAACUCGACCCCGUGAAGCUGGAAUCGCUAGUAAUCGGAUAUCAGCCAUGAUCCGGUGAAUACGUUCCCGGGCCUUGUACACACCGCCCGUCAAGC
rnacentral:rRNA from 1 species